UCUGAAUCUCAGUCCAUCUUCCCCGGGUUCUCUUAAAGACUGGACAUGUUGGCUGGGGUUCCUGUCUUGUUCAUCUCUAAACUUAGCCUUUCUGAGGUUGCAGGACAGUGAUGAUGGCUGGGUCCAGAGUCGCAGCCUCCUCCCUCUCAGAAGCUACCCAUUCUGUUAAGAGGCCACAGACAACCACGUUCCUAAUUGUGCAUCCCUCCUUGGGCUUCAGUAUGUAACCGUUUCUAUCUUGAUACCUGUUUCUGAGUUCCUAGAAUCUUAAUGUACUUUUGUCACACCCUCCCUCCAGAAACUGAAACUUGACAAAUAAAUCCCAUUCACUGGCAUGGCAGACCUAGACUUCAAAAAGAACACUGGUUAAAGCCCCAGGUGUCUACAUAUUAAAUACCACCUGAUUCUCCAUUGCUGUGCCAUGCCCACAAGCUAAAGCUCCCUAUUGCUCCAUCGGGGACUCCUGGAGCUAAUCUGUUUCCUCCAAAGCACCUGGAGGUAGUCUUGGGAAACCUUGGACAUCAAGCUGCUUCUAUUUACUCACUAGAACGCAACUGUCUGCCCUGCAGCUGAGACAACAUCCCCAGCACCUGGCCUGCUCCCCUAACCAUCGUGACCAGUUCACACAGACACAGACAAAUACUAAGAUAUGAGAAAAACUAUAAACAGUGGGACAUCAUUCCAGUAACUGAAAUGUAUUCAUUUAACCAAUAUUUAUUGAAUAUCAGGGAUAAUGUCUCUAUGGUAGUGAAACAACAUGAACAAGACAGAUUUUCUGCCCUCAAGGAAUUUGUGCUCUAUUUAUCUGCACAUAUAAACAAAAAUUUAACUACAUAUAAAGGUAAAAACAUC
rnacentral:lncRNA from 1 species